CAAGCCUGCAUUUGUAAAAAUCCAUAUUUGAGAAAGAAGGCUAUAGUAAUGGAUUUGAUUUCUUUCUUACUGUCAUAAUUGAAAAAGAUGGCUAAGGUAGACACUUUUGAUCCAUUUUGAACACAUUUGAUACAUCUCAAAAAUACUAAAAUUAUUUUUGCCAUAGAAAAACUUUAUUUAAAUUUGCUGUAAAAUUUUCAUAGUCUUACAGACAAAAUAAAGCCCCCAGCUUUACCAAGACAAGGCUUAUAGGGAGAGUAUCAAAAGGUGAAACAACAAGGAAAUUGCAAGAAUAAGUACCUUUAGACCAUCAGAAAUCCAUACUUUUUACUAGAGAGUCAUACCUUUUCCAUUUCUGUUACUUUACUUUACAAAGUCUUUGUGGGUUGAUAAAUCUCAUCUUGGCGUCCUGCACAGACACCAAAACAGCAUUUUGAAUCAUUGUCUUGGGUGAAUUUUGCUUCAAAAUAUCUCCUGAGGCUAUUCAAUAGGAUAUUUGCCAACAAAGCAGCUUGUAAAAACGCAGACUGAGCAGAAGAAAGAUAUACUGAUAUUAUUUUCAAGAUCAUACAAAGGACCCCUAUACACUUCAGACAAGGAAGAUAAAGUUUUUCUGAACAUUUAAAGACAGCCAUUUGUAGGAAAACAUUUUAACAGAGUGAAAGCAUGAGAUUUUAGUAAAAGCCUGUCUGCACAAGCCAGCCUUUGGUAUAAGUGACAAUAUUAAAGGUAAUGUCCUUGAAACUCUCCUAAAGCAGCGAGAAUGAAAGAAAAAACAAUAGCCUUGUAUUCUGGGGAAAGAAUGUAAACAAUACGUAUUAGCCAAUAGUAGCUUGUUAGGCCCACGGACCCUGUCGGACCCUAUAAAAGUGGGCUAAAGAUAGAAAUAAACGACAUUCGCUAUACCUCCAUGAGGACUCAGUGAAUAGUCUGAGCGGUUUCUCAAUAGCCAUUUAUAAGGUUCUAGCUGUAAGCGUACAUUCUUAAUGGCAACCACAUCCCACUAUCUAUCAACAAAUCCCUUUCAGAUCAGAAAGGGAAUCAUACAUACUUGUCCUGGGGUGACUGUAUGGUUCUUUAUCCACUAUUGUUUGCUUUGUGCAUAGGCAUGAGUCCUGUAGCUUUAAGUUCAAAAAGGGGGAGGAAGCAGUGGAAUUCUUUUGGCAGCUGCGUUCAAAACACAGAUAACUUGCUGGUUUUUUUCAGCUCUCUUGGCUUUUUUCCUCCAGGGAGAGACAUAGAGUUUUUCUUUGCUUUUUUAAGCUAGUUUUUUAGCUAGCUGAGGCAUGAAGUUUUUCCUGCGACUGUGGUUUCUUCUUCUGGAACUGUUCAGCUUUUCUCCGGUCCGAAAUACCAGAAGAUCACCGAGGGCUCCCCUACACGGACCCAGAUGCCAGCUCCAGAUCCCGGUGAGCCUGAGCUGACCCUACAGAAAGGACUCUGAAUCUACAGCAACAGGCAAAUUAAGUGAAUGGAAGAACAGCAUGGGGCUGUCUGGAACUACAUGAAUUUGCCUACUCUGAAACACUCUCCUUUCUAAAACAAAAUGACAGCCUGAGAGACGAGGAUCUUCUUCAGCUUCCACAACUUAAUACCAAGUGUUGUUCUGCUCAGAGCUCUCUUCCCCCCCGUAACGGAGGCACCAGAAAUCCCUGGCAGGGUGCCACACAACACAAACCCACAAGACCUUGCUUAAAAUCAACCUACGUUGUCAGAUGUCUUUUGAGCUAAGGAGCCUGAAAACCUAUGCUGCAAGGAAACCACAAAAGCUGGAAGGGUUUUUAAGAGAAGACUGUUCAGACCAGUCCCUAGAAGGAGAUAAAAGACUAUGUAAAUUAGUGUCAUAAUUAUCCGGUAGACAACCUUUGGUACUCAGAAUUCACAGGUUUUAUUUUUAGUUCUGAAAGGAAGUAUGCCUUUUAUGGUUAAUCCCAGUUGGCCUCUUUCUGCUUUCACUGUUCUUACCACUUUAACAAGAGAAAUUACAGUACUUCUCGUUCAGCUGCUCAUAGGUUUUCCCAUAAUGGUUAUGUGGAAUGGGGAUGAACUGACGCUUGCAUUGUUUUUCAUAGAUUUGUACAGCAGAGGUGGCCACAACCAGAACUAAUUUCAUAAUUAAUUUCACGCUUAUGCUUUCUCCAAAAUUCUAGCUUUAUGUUUAAUGAACAUAUCUUAAUGAGUAUUAAUUUAGUCAGCUCAAGCAGUAAGUUCAGAUCCAGUAUUAGGAAUCUAUCAUCCAGAUUUGUUUUUAUAUAAAGAAAAUGCAAGUUCUACAAAAAUGAAGUGGCUAGACCUUGAGCACAUUAAGGAAAUCUUACCACCUGCAGACCCUCAAUACCCAGAAAUAUGACUUACUUAGAUUAUAGGGUUCUUUUUUUCCCUCUGUAUAACCAGAAAUCUUUUUAUUUUCAAGUAAUGACACUUGGUUUUUAAUUUUAAAUCACUUUCUUACAAUCACCCAGGUUUGCACUAGAGUCAUGUGUCACCCUGCAGAUUGGUGAUGAGUGAAGAAGGCACCACCAUGACUCACUGUCCCCUCAAAUAACCUCCAGACUGUUCUGACCAAAGCUGCAGCAGAAUGCACUGGCUGCUGACUCAAACAGAUGCACACAGCCUCAUUCUCUUGCUGCAUACAGUGCCUUCCCUGUGCCAUUAAAUAUGAUUCAUACACAGCACAGUGCCAAAAUCAAAAGAACAGAUCAACAUUGGCAGACAGUAAAUUCUAAGUCUGCUCUUCCUUGAAUAUUACAUGCAAAUAAUCUGGUAUGAUAAUAGUAUCUGUAUAUAGCAACCUGCCUUUCAACCUCAGUAAGGAUGUUACAAAUUCACCAUCUUUAGUACAAACACACAGUCAGUUUGACCAUGGAAGCACCCAAAAAGAAACCGAGAUGCCUGACACCAAAGUAAGAUAAAUUUAUGUCAGAGUUUUGCAUCAACUGGUAUUACAGAAUAAUAAUAAUAGUUGGUUGUUAAUUAGCAGACUGUGGUGAAAGCACUGACAUUAAAAGUCAUUAAAACCAUGUCCAAAAAACACCUUCAGAUUUGAGAGAAUCUAACAUUAAUCUCUAUCCCUCAGAAAAGGAGCCAGUGCCUUUGGAAGAAAGAAGGACAUGUGACAGAAGAGCUUUUGAGCAAUGUUGUCAGACAGCAUGACAUGAAGCAGUUCCUGUCUUCACAAAAAAGACACAGUUGGCUAAUAAUCCCAUCCUUUUCAACCAGACAGGAUGUGGUUCUACAAUAAAAGAUACACUAUUGACUCCAUUAACCUACAGUGCUGGAAAUAAAUAAUGAAAAAUGCAUUAAUUUCCACUGCUCAUUACCACUUCCAAAAUAGCUGUUACAGGCUUACCUAUCAUUCACACUAUUUUUCAAGAAAAUACUGUAAUCCAGGGAGAAAAGCAUUUCCUAACUCAAUAUUUUUUUCUUCAAGAAAGAACAAAUCUGUGUGUUAAACCUAGUGUUUUCAUCUGCUGAUAUUUUUAGAUAUGAUGAAUUAGUCCCUUCCUAUGGUAUAAUGCAGACUCUCAAACCAGAAGAAUUGAUCUUGCUGCCUAGAUUUAAAAGGUUUCACUAGCAAGGAAUUUGACUUACAGUUUUCAGUGAUAUAAAUUGAGGACGGGUUCUAGUAAUGCAAUAAACAACUGCAUCAUGAAAUAAAUUUUGAGAUUGUUCUUAAUAUGGAGAUCAGCAA